rnacentral:rRNA from 1 species
GACGAACGCUGGCGGCGUGCUUAACACAUGCAAGUCGAACGGAAAGGCCCUGCUUUUGUGGGGUGCUCGAGUGGCGAACGGGUGAGUAACACGUGAGUAACCUGCCCUUGACUUUGGGAUAACUUCAGGAAACUGGGGCUAAUACCGGAUAGGAGCUCCUGCUGCAUGGUGGGGGUUGGAAAGUUUCGGCGGUUGGGGAUGGACUCGCGGCUUAUCAGCUUGUUGGUGGGGUAGUGGCUUACCAAGGCUUUGACGGGUAGCCGGCCUGAGAGGGUGACCGGCCACAUUGGGACUGAGAUACGGCCCGGACUCCUACGGGAGGCAGCAGUGGGGAAUAUUGCACAAUGGGCGGAAGCCUGAUGCAGCAACGCCGCGUGCGGGAUGACGGCCUUCGGGUUGUAAACCGCUUUCGCCUGUGGCGAAGCGUGAGUGACGGUAAUGGGUAAAGAAGCACCGGCUAACUACGUG